GCCCGGUUAGCUCAAUCGGUAGAGCGUGAGACUCUUAGUAUUCACGGUCUAAAACCACGAUUUCGCGGCAUCUCAAGGUUGCGGGUUCGACCCCCGCAUCGGGCU